GCGCCGAUGGGGUAGUGGUAACCUGGGUCGUUGCCAUUUUAUGUUGGUGUCGCUUAUUCGACCCGCCGGGGGUUCGAUUCCCUCUCGGCGCA